rnacentral:rRNA from 1 species
AGAUUGAACGCUGGCGGCAUGCCCUAACACAUGCAAGUCGAGCGGGCAGCACGGGGGCAACCCUGGUGGCGAGUGGCGAACGGGUGAGUAAUUGCAUCGGAACGUAUCCUUGAGUGGGGGAUAACGCAGCGAAAGUUUGUGCUAAUACCGCAUAAGGCUCUGAGGAGGAAAGCGGGGGACCGAAAGGCCUCGCGCUGAAAGGAGCGGCCGAUGGUCCGAUUAGCUAGUUGGUGAGGUAAAGGCUUUACCAAGGCGACGAUCGGUAGCUGGUCUGAGAGGAGUGAUCAGCCACACUGGGACUGAAGACACGGGCCCAGACCUCCUACGGGGAGGCAGC